AACAAUGGCCGCUCCCUUUCAUGUUAUUUAUGUUCUGUCUUUCAUAUUUCAUUGAUUUGAAAUGCUAAUUGGAAUUCAUUUUAUAAAUUUAUUUAAUUUCUUCUCUGUAUAGAGUCGGUUACUUAUGGUUACUGUAAAGUAGUAACUAGUAAGUCCCAAAGUGGGUAACUUACUAAGUCUGUAGUCUGUACUUCAUGGUUCCUGUUCAGUCUAUGCUAUUAGUCUAAAUUUAAUUUCACUGACUCAAGAGUUUGUAAAACUACACCCAUAUGCUGAUGGUAAUAUCGGGCCCACCAAGGAUCUAAUUGAAUUCGCUCCUAGGGAGGGUCUACCCUGAUGCAGUUUGUGGUGAGAACAAGAAACUCAUGCCAUGCUCUUUUGGCUUUUGAUAAAGUGUAAAUCAAACCCCUUUUUUACCUCUGAGUGUUCGCAAUCACAUAAACCAAUCCCCAUAAAGGUUUCGUCCCAUUUCAUCCAACCUAUGAAAUGGAUCAACUGACAACAAUCACAAAACAAAGAGAUCCAAAAACGGUCUAGCUAAGCAAGUUUUCAAGAUCUAGCUUACAAAAAAAUGUAUGCAAAUUUUACUGAAUCAGCCAAAUAUUCCCUGGUGGAUGGAAUGGAGAAUACAGUCCUUACUCUUCCAGUGUUUUUGAAGAUAAGACAGUCAGACAAGACGCAUAUUCGGACGGCACCCACAAUUUUAAAUGCGCAAAGGACUCGCAGUAGAGGCCGCUGUCGAAGCCAGCGGAUUACGAAGCUACACCACUACUAAACUACCCAACCGACGGCUUGUCAACUCACCCCUCUUACUCGCUCUCAUCUCUCAACACAGAACGGGGUUUUGAUCUUUAGAUUGUUUGGCUGUUUGUGAUCUGUGAUGGUGAUUUCUUGAGGACGACGAUGAUGUUCUAACCUACAGGUUCCUAAAAUUGCAUGACAGACUUUAUGAGAAGUAAUAUCCUUUCAAGAAAGUCAACAAGGUCCCUUGUUUGCUAACUCAAUGGCUGAGACUACCCUUGAAUCUCCCGUUAUACUUCCUUAAACGGGCCCUCUUGAUUUGAGGGUAAAGGGGGGUAAUCCUUUGCUACUUAUCGUUGACUUCAUCAAUUGCUGAACACCGACGAGAGCAUGCUGUCAUUCAAGACUGAUAAAUUGUAUUGUUAGUUAAAUUACAAGUGCAUAUCUGGGCUCCCUUCUUUUCUGUGGCCCCGUUUCCCUAUCUAACCACUAACCAACGCCCGCCGGUGGUCACU